rnacentral:lncRNA from 1 species
CCAAAAUCUAAUCUACACAUUCCCAUGGUUCAAACAAAUUUGAAACGGCCUUUCACAUAGCUCAAUUAUAAUAGGCUUAGGUUCAUAAUCACCCUUUAAUUAAUUAACGCUUUAACCAAUUAAACUUUGAAUGCAACAUUUUCAUUUGGUUUUUGUUUCCAUAGAAUUGAUUUAAAUGGAGCUAAAUGAAAUGAAAAUCCAAUUCUCAUUUAAAGAGACAAAACCAUUUUGUUCUCAACCUAAUUUGGGCCAAAAUGCAAUAACCUCAACUUUUUGGUCUAUGUUGCAAAACUUAAACUUUUGAGCUCAUUUUGUAAAAACACAAAAGUCCACUACUUCAUGUAAUUACAACUAGAACCCAAAAAUUUCAUCAAAUACAAAAACUUCAUUAAAGGAGCAAAACAAUUUGACCUUUAGCGUUUUUGGGCCUUUACAUAAAAACGUAAACUUUUGGGUCAAACUUGUAAAUACACAAAAGUACCAAAACUUUAUGUAAUUGCAUAAAAGCCCCAAAAGCACCACACUUGUAGGGUGGCCGGUUUUAGAGAGAGUGAGGAAUGCAAAAUUUUGAAAUUUUUCAACAAAGUCAUAAAGCCAUGCAAGUGGUGUGUGUGA